CAAGGAAUUUUCCGCAAUGGGCGCAAGCCUGACGGAGCAACGCCGCGUGCGGGAUGACGCGUUUCGGCGUGUAAACCGCUGUUCGUGGGGACGAAGCACUGACGGUACCCACGGAGGAAGGCCCGGCUAACUACGUGCCAGCAGCCGCGGUAAUACGUAGGGGUCGAGCGUUGUCCGGAGUUACUGGGCGUAAAGCGCGUGCAGGUGGCUCAUUACGCCCGGCGUGAAAGCCCCCGGCUCAACCGGGGAGGGUCGUCGGGGACGGAUGGGCUUGAGGGUCGCAGGGGGCUGGUGGAAUUCCCGGUGUAGUGGUGAAAUGCGUAGAGAUCGGGAGGAACACCCGUGGCGAAGGCGGCCAGCUGGGCGACACCUGACACUGAGACGCGAAGGCGUGGGGAGCGAACGGGAUUAGAUACCCCGGUAGUCCACGCAGUAAACGAUGCCGACUAGGCGUGGGGGGACUUGACCCUUCCGUGCCGAAGCUAACGCAUGAAGUCGGCCGCCUGGGGAGUACGGCCGCAAGGC
rnacentral:rRNA from 1 species